rnacentral:rRNA from 1 species
GACGAACGCUGGCGGCGUGCCUAAUACAUGCAAGUCGAACGCAGGGGGGACAGGUGAGUAACACGUGGGUAACCGCCCAUCAGAGGGGAGAACACUUGGAAACAGGUGCUAAACCGAUAUUGAAGGAUGGAUCUGCGGUGUAAUAGCUAGUUGGCGAGGUAACGGCUCACCAAGGCCACGAUGCAUAGCCGACCUGAGAGGGUGAUCGGCCACACUGGGACUGAGACACGGCCCAGACUCCUACGGGAGGCAGCAGUAGGGAAUCUUCGGCAAUGGACGAAAGUCUGACCGAGCAACGCCGCGUGAGUGAAGAAGGUUUUCGGAUCGUAAAGCUCUGUUGUUAGAGAAGCGGUAUCUAACCAGAAAGCCACGGCUAACUACGUGCCAGCAGCCGCGGUAAUUC